rnacentral:rRNA from 1 species
UUGGAAUAGACUGCCGUGGAGGGUGAAAGCCCCGUACGGCAUCGGGGAAGCGCUAGGCGGCGUCUCAAGAGUCGAGUUGUUCGGGACUGCAGCUCUAAGUGGGAGGUAGACUUCUCCUAAGGCUAAAUAACUAUGAGAGACCGAUAGCGAACAAGUAAUGUGAAUGAAAGAUGAAAAAUUUACUAUCCGUAAGAACUUUGAAUUAUACAAACAAGAGAAUUAAAUAGACCUGAAACCGUUGAGG